GCAGAGUAGGAACAGGAGCGUUAAGUGCCCGGUAAACAGGAAGUUGUUAUCGGGACGAAAAGAUUGUCUUGCGAUUGCUGUUCCGCAUUCCGCUGC
rnacentral:ncRNA from 1 species